rnacentral:lncRNA from 1 species
UUACCUGGCCAUAUGUGUCGAUCCAAUUCUGAUUUGAGGUGGCUAACAAUUCAAGCUGACCCAUGCCACUAGGUUAGUCAUAAUUGUUAUGACUAUGUCAAGUCAAGUUUAAUGAGACCUAAAUCAAAUCUCCCUAAGAAAAUAUUAAGUCUAGGUCUUCCACCAUUGUGGAUGUGCGGGCCCUUUUUAGGGUUGAUUGUUCUCGGCUGGUUAUAGUGGCUCAGUUGCAUCGGAAAGAUGCAACCAUGUCCAUUAGGCAUUGGAUGCUACGAAUUAGAGGAUGGGUUGGGCUCAAUAUUUUG